CGAACCCAUGUCUCCUGUGUCUCCUGUGUGGCAGGAGGGUUCUUUACCGUGGAGCCACGGGGGGCGGCAGUUGGUAACUGCCCUCUGAGCAGGAAAAGCAAUAUAUAUAUAUCUCAUCCUCACAGCUCACCUAGCGAUGAUUCUGCCCCUUGUCCUGUGAAUCUGAACUGUGUGGACUCUGAGACUCGCUUGCCAUAGGGUUUGGAUUGGGUCUGGCGAAUGAGGAGGCCUUAGCAGGACAUCAGCAGGGAAGUAGGUCAAUGACCAGGCAUGGAACCCAGGCCCCCUACAUUGGGAGCGUCGAGUCUCAGCCAUUGGACCACCAGGGAAGUCCCAUUCAUUAGUUCACUCAUUCAUUCAUUCUGCUCUUUCGUGAGCACCCUCACAUAUCCCUAACAGACAUGUCCUAUUAUUAUUACUAUUUUCACAGGAGGAAACUGAGUCAAAGAGUGACUAAGCGGCUUGCUGAGGACCACACACACCAGGUAAAUGUUGGAUCUGGGGGCUGAAGUGGGGAUAUGCCAUAAGAACUUGAACCUUCAAGCUUCAGCACAGGGUGUCUAUUUGCAGUUAGAAAUUAUUCACACAUAGAAGUAAAAGGUCCUGAGCAGAUUCCCUUCUUUCCUCCUUCCCCAGCUCAUGCUUCCUGGGACUCUGCUCAGAGCAGGUAUGACUGCGUGCACAAAGAGAUGGAGAGAGACGAGGCAACCCACCAGGUCAGAGGCCUUCAGAUUUCCCUCCCCAGGUUCCCCUCCAUGGAGCAGAGACAGGAGGGCCAGCCACCGCAAUGACCUCCUACUGCCAUUAGAAACAGCCCCACAGGGGUUAAUGCAAGACGUUCUGCUUUGGAUGAGACACUGGUUUAAUUUAUAUUUGAUUAAAAAAGUCAUUCAUUCAUGCAUUCAGCAG
rnacentral:lncRNA from 1 species